GAUGAACGCUGGCGGCGUGCCUAAUACAUGCAAGUCGAGCGAACGGACGAGAAGCUUGCUUUUCUGAUGUUAGCGGCGGACGGGUGAGUAACACGUGGAUAACCUACCUAUAAGACUAGGAUAACUUCGGGAAACCGGAGCUAAUACCGGAUAAUAUUUUGAACCGCAUGGUUCAAAAGUGAAAGACGGUCUUGCUGUCACUUAUAGAUGGAUCCGCGCUGCAUUAGCUAGUUGGUAAGGUAACGGCUUACCAAGGCAACGAUGCAUAGCCGACCUGAGAGGGUGAUCGGCCACACUGGAACUGAGACACGGUCCAGACUCCUACGGGAGGCAGCAGUAGGGAAUCUUCCGCAAUGGGCGAAAGCCUGGCGGAGCAACGCCGCGUGAGUGAUGAAGGUCUUCGGAUCGUAAAACUCUGUUAUUAGGGAAGAACAUAUGUGUAAGUAACUGUGCACAUCUUGACGGUACCUAAUCAGAAAGCCACGGCUAACUACGUG
rnacentral:rRNA from 1 species